rnacentral:misc_RNA from 1 species
GUGAGGGUGCAUGAGUGGCGCUGUGGAUGUUUGUGUUUGCUGGCUCAAUGCUUUUGCAUUGAACGGUAUGCAUACAAUCCAGAUCAUUGUUCAUUGAUGCCUUGGUGCCUUUGAUGUUUGCUUGUUGUUCCUGUUUGGCUUACCUAUAUAAUGGUACAUAAGUGGCUUGUUUUGCUUUUACCAUCCCAUAUCGUUGAGCGGUGUUGUGGUGGCUUUUGAAUGUGUACAGAUGCCUUGUAUUAGUCGUCAUGUGUGGUGUCUUCUACGGUGUGCAUGUAUUCAUUGAUUUCUUGGUCGCGGUGCUUGAGAUGACCUUUGGUUCUUCCAAUGAUGUCUGUGAUUAUCGGUUGCCUUAAAUUAUGCCUGCUCUAUUGCCUGUUUUGCUACCCUUUUGUGGGUGCAAAACUUGCACUGUGCGCAGAGUCAUUAAUGGAUG